rnacentral:rRNA from 1 species
AACGCGAAGAACCUUACCUACUCUUGACAUCCAGAGAACUUAGCAGAGAUGCUUUGGUGCCUUCGGGAACUCUGAGACAGGUGCUGCAUGGCUGUCGUCAGCUCGUGUUGUGAAAUGUUGGGUUAAGUCCCGCAACGAGCGCAACCCUUAUCCUUUGUUGCCAGCGGUCCGGCCGGGAACUCAAAGGAGACUGCCAGUGAUAAACUGGAGGAAGGUGGGGAUGACGUCAAGUCAUCAUGGCCCUUACGAGUAGGGCUACACACGUGCUACAAUGGCAUAUACAAAGAGAAGCGACCUCGCGAGAGCAAGCGGACCUCAUAAAGUAUGUCGUAGUCCGGAUUGGAGUCUGCAACUCGACUCCAUGAAGUCGGAAUCGCUAGUAAUCGUGGAUCAGAAUGCCACGGUGAGUACGUUCCCGGGUCUUGUACACACCG